GUUGUUUCCGGUCCAAGCGGGGAGCGUUGACGGAAUGACGCCCUUGGCAGUCUCUAGUAAGCGUACGCACACCACGAGCGAAAUCUACGAAGCUUAACGACAGUAUUCGACACAUUGUUCACGUUUUGAUCCGGCUUUAAAAUGGGAGCAGACGUAGCUGCCGUUUCUAUCGUAAGUGUUUUCUGGGUUGUCGUCGGUGCCAUAGUGCCUUGGUUCAUUCGGAAAGGCUCGCAUCGCAGCCUCAUUCAGGCAAUGAUCGUUACGACGUCGAUAUGCUGCUACCUCUUUUGGCUGUGCACAUACAUGUCC